rnacentral:rRNA from 1 species
AUUGAACGCUGGCGGCAUGCUUUACACAUGCAAGUCGAACGGUAACAGGCUUUCUGGUGCUGACGCGUGGCGCACGGGGGUGUAUUGCACGGGAACGUACCCCGCGGUGGGGGGUGAUGAAGCGGAAGCUGUGCUACUACCGCAGGUGAUCUGAGGAUGUAAGCGGGGGUUCGGGCAGCAAUGUUUGGCCUCGCGCUGUUUGAGGGGCUGAUGUCGUAUUAGCUGGGUGGUGGGGUAAAGGGCUACCAAGGCGACGCUCCGUAGCUGGUCUGAGAGGACGAGCAGACACACGAGGACUGAGAGACGGCCCAGACUCCUGCGGGAGGCAGCAGUGCGGAAGUUGGGACAAUGGGCGCAAGCCUGAUCCAGCAAUGCCGCGUGAGGGAAGAAGGCCUUCGGGGUGUAAACCGCUUUUGGCAGGAACGAAACGGUGGCCGCUAAUACCGGGCGCUAAUGACGGUACCUGCAGAAUAAGCACCGGCUAACUACGUG